rnacentral:rRNA from 1 species
CCUACGGGUGGCAGCAGUGGGGGAUAUUGCACAAUGGGGGACACCCUGAUGCAGCGACGCCGCGUGAGUGAAGAAGUAUUUCGGUAUGUAAAGCUCUAUCAGCCGGGACGAAAAUGACAGUACCUCACCAAGAAGCCCCGGCUAACUACGUGCCAGCAGCCGCGGUAAUACGUAGGGGGCAAGCGUUAUCCGGAUUUACUGGGUGUAAAGGGAGCGUAGACGGUGAUGUAAGUCUGGAGUGAAAGCCCGGGGCGCAACCCCGGGACUGCAUGGGAUACGUUGUAACUGGAGUACAGGAGGGGCAGGCGGAAUUCCUGGUGUAGCGGUGAAAUGCGUAGAGAUCAGGAGGAACACCGGCGGCGAAGGCGGCCUGCUGGACUGAAACUGACGUUGAGGCUCGAAAGCGUGGGGAGCAAACAGGAUUAGAUACCCGGGUAGUC